CAGUGGUAGACAAGAAGAGGGAUAAUAUAUAUAUUUUUUAUUUAUUUACUUAACACAGUAAAAUUAAUUUGAUAAUUUUAUCAAAGACAUACCUGUGAGAUAUACUUCAUGAAAGACCUACUAAUUUUGCAUGUAAGAAUUACUGCUUCUUUUGUAUUAAACAUGGGAAUUAGGUCUAAGUAAAAAAUAUACUAUUUAAAGCAAUAAUACAUGUUAGCAACAAAAACAAUAUUUCAACUUUACAGCUUCGCAUAUAGCAAACAAUCUUAUUUUCCAGGUUAAAAAACUAACUAAAUUAUAAAUAUAAUAUAACGAAGACCUCCAAUUAUUUCAAUCUCAACCGCAUAUUUUUGUACUUGAUCACAAUCCACAAGAGCAAGAUUUGCAAUUCCUGUCUAUAAAAUCAAGAACCAUAAUGAGAAGUUGAGGAUGAACAAAGGAAAGAGUUAAUUAAUAAACUAAACAAACAAUCACCAAAAGAGAAACAACAAGACACCAAGAAUAAAACCAUUUAGUAAGCAAAUUAACACCAUAGAAUUGCAACAUCCUAGCCAUCCAAAAAUAUGCAGUUCCAAACAAAAAAAAGCCGCCGAAUGAUACACACUCACAGUACUUUGAAAAAAUAAAUAAAUAAAUAAAACACAGACUGAAACAAAUCUAUUGGGUACCACUACCCAAAACGACAAUGCGACACGGUUUACUACGGACCAUGAUUGCCACUUGCAACAUAACUACUUCCUGCUCAUUUAAAAAGAAAAAGGAGAUCUUGGCUUUCCAUUAUCAUUUUUUUUGUUUUCCCUUUUCAUUUUUGUUUUUAUUUCUAAAAUCUCUUUCUGGUAAUAAAACACGCACGCUUAGAACCACAAGACAAAAUCCGCACUCCCGGCCUCAGCCGUAACGCGUCUUUAUAUAUUUUUUUUAAUUAUUUUUUUUUCGGCAGUUUACAGUUUGGAUACUCAUAGCCUGUAAGAUUGCUCCUUUAUUAUCCUAUUUCAAGCGCUCAUUAUUAAAUAAUUCGUCACCUUCCACAUCGGUAGGCAUCCGAAAGAAAAACACUUACUUUCCUGUCUUUGUUACUGCACUUCCAAAUCUUCAGCUUUCGUUUCUUUUCCCUGUUUCUUGGUUCACCAAUUUGUUCUUAUCCUGCUGCUCUCUUGUUGAUUUGAGCGUCUCCUGGGUGCUAUUUGAAACAAUGGGUACCAAUCUCUGUCACAACUGGGUUCAAUCCCCCACCAGCAAUAACAAGCACCGCAAAAAAUGGCGCCUCGCCUUUGAUGCCAUCUUCUUUUCCAGAACACUGCUCCAUAUUGCCAAAAACGCUGUCAAUCAGCAGUUAAAUGUCAAACUAUUACGCACUUUCUCCUACACUGCAAUAGAUAUCAAGACACAGACUGAUCGCCUUGAUAAGGUAAGUCUCUCCAAGCUUGUGGAGGAGGAAAGUCUCGACCAACUUAGAAGUUUUGGUGGUGUUGAUGGUGUUGUUGCAGCCCUGAAAAGUGAUGCAAAGAAUGGCAUAAAAGAUGAUAAUUUGGAUGUUUACGAUCGACGAAUGACCUAUGGUUCAAACAAGUAUGUAAGGCCACCUGCAAGAAGCUUCUUCUACUUUGUGUUAAAGGCCUUCAAAGAUCCCAUGAUCAUCCUCGUGGUUGUGUGCAGUGCCCUUUCACUUGGGUUUGGUAUUAGAAAGCAUGGACUGGCAAGAGGAUGGAGUGAUGGAGGCAGCAUAUUUCUUGCUGUUUUUUUAGUCAUCAUCGCAUCUUCUGUCAGCAACUUCUGGCCCAACAAGCAAUUCAACAAGCUUUCCCAAAUCAGUUACUCUAUGAAGGUGGAAGUUGUCAGAAGCGGGUGGAGGCAGCAUAUCCCAGUAGAUCAAAUUGUUGUAGGAGAUGUUGUCUGUCUAAGGACCGGAGAUAAAGUUCCCGCUGAUGGUCUGUUCUUACAAGGCCAUUUAUCAAUUGAUACUUCGACCCUGAAAAUGAACUCUGACAUCAUGGCCGUUAACCAUCACCUGAAGCCCUUUUUGUGUUCUGGCUCUAUGGUGACAGAUGGAUAUGCUCUAAUGCUUGUCACAUCUGUUGGCAUAAACACAAAAUGGGGCAAGAUGCUUAGCACAAAAUGGGAAGAUCCACAUGAAACAACACCCAUACAGGCUAGGCUGCAAAUAAUAACUUCUUUAACCAGUAAAGUUGGCUUGUUGGGAGCUUCAUUGGUUUUCCUGGUAUGGUUGGUUCAUUACUUCAAGGGGGAUAUGAGAAACGGAUAUGUGGCAGGCAAGACAGAAUUUCAUGAAGUUAUCUGUGAGAUGAUUGGGAUCCUAGCCGCUGUGAUCGCUAUUGCAGCAGGAGCAGUCGCAGAGGGCUUACCACUGGCUGUUUUAAUCACUCUUGCUUAUUCAAUGAUAAGUAUGACAAGUAACCAGGCUAUUGUAAGAAGACAUUCUGCCUGUGAGGCAAUUGCCUCAGCCACCACUAUCUGCGCGAAAUUGAAUCAUAUGGUAGUAAGAAAGUUUUGGUUAGGGCAAGGAUUCAUUGAACAAGGUGCUUCCUCACAGAUUGCGCCAACUAUCAUUAAAUUGCUUCACCAAGCAGUUGGUCUGCACACAACUCAAACCCCUUCAAAAGAUUCCUCAUUCAUUUGGAGUCCAACAGAAAAGGCGAUCAUUUGUUGGGCCACCCAAGAGAUGGGCAUGAAUACUCGGGAAAUAAAGGAAACCUGCAGCAUUCUACAUGGUGAAGCAUUUAAUUCAGCAAAGAGACGCAGUGGGUUUUUGGUGAAGAGGAAUAAUGAUAAUACAAUCCAUGUGCACUGGAAAGGGACACCAGAGACCAUACUAGCCAUGUGUUCGCAAUACUAUGACACAACAGGUAUUGCCAAAGCCAUUGAUUGUGAAACAAGGAAGAAACUGAAUCAUGUAGCUCAAGUAAUGGCAACUGAUGGACUUCAAUGCAUUGCUUUUGCACAUAGAAGAACUUCCACAGAUCUUUAUGAAAGUGGAAUAUCCCAUCAGGUAAUAGAAGAUGACUGCUUGUCCUUCAUAGGCUUAGUUGGUGUAAAGGCUCUAUGCCAGCCUGGCCUUCCAAAAGCUGUAGGAGAUUGCCAAUAUGCUGGAGUGAACAUCAAAAUGGUAACAAGAGAUGGAGCUUCAAUUGCACGAGAUAUAGCAACUGAAUGUGGGAUACUCAAGCCCGAGCAGAACAUAGAGAGUGAAGUAGUGGAAGGAGCAGAAUUUCAAAAUUACACACACGAGGAGAGAAUGGCAAAGGUUGAUAAAAUUCGGGUUAUGGCAAGUGCCUCUUCUUCUGACAUGCUUCUUAUGGUUAAAUAUCUGAGACAAAAGGGCAAAAUAGUGGCAGUUAUUGGUACUGACACAGAGGAUGCAGCUGCUCUGAGGGAAGCUGAUAUAGGCAUCUCUAUAGGGCUUCAGGCCACUGAUACAGCAAAAGAGAGCUCUGACAUAGUCAUAUUGGAUGAUGAUUUCGUUUCUGUCGUUAAUGUUUUGAAAUGGGGGAGAACUAUGCUUAACCAAAUCCAGAUAUUUGUGCAGUUCCAGCUCAGUCUGAGCAUUACUUCACUAGCGAUAGACUUAGUGACAGCAGUUUCAGCAAGUGAGCCACCGACCAUCAAAAUUACAGCAGCCAUCUCAGCUGGAGAAAUCCCUUUUGCAGCACUACAAGUUUUGUGGGUGAAGCUGAUCAUGGGUACAUUAGCUGCUCUGGCUCUUGCCAUAGGGCAACCCUCCAAGGAGCUCAUGAAGUGUCCAGUGGAUGGAAAACCUCUUAUAACCAACAUCAUGUGGAGAAAUAUAUUAGCCCAAGCUAUCUACCACAUAGCUAUCCUAUUGACCAUACAGUUCAAGGGCAAAGCAAUUUUUGGCGUGAAUGAUGGGGUAAAAGACACUCUGAUGUUCAAUACUUUUGUUCUUUGUCAAGUUUUUAAUAAAUUCAAUGCAAGAGAGCCAAAGAAGAAGAACAUCUUUAAGAGGAUACACAAGAACAAACUGUUUGUAGGCAUCAUAGGGGCAAUAAUUGUUCUUCAGGUCGUGAUGGUGGAAUUUCUAAAGAGGUUCGCAGGUACAGAGAGGCUGAAUUGGGGGCAAUGGGGUGCUAGCAUUGGAAUAGCAGCUAUGUCAUGGCCAGUUGCUUGGUAUGUCAAGUGGAUACCUGUCCCAAGCAAACCAUUUUUUAACUAUCUAAAGUGGAAACAUUAGGACAUAGAAAUACAACUAGUAAUCCUUAGGGUUUGUUUUAUAGUUUUAUGAGCAUCUGAUAGUGCCCUUGUACGCAGAACAAAACAGGGUUUAGAUUUUGUACAGUUUCAUAAAUAUAUAGUUUGUUUCCUCAAAUCAGGGUAGCUUUUACAAUGUCACACCCUUUGGUUGGAACAAAAUCAAGGCAAGGAUGGCAAAGAAGCAGAUUUUUCAUGAACAAUUAGUUUCAGCGGCAUGUAUCUAUAUGAUCCUGCUAACUAGAAUAAAGAUUAGUUGUCAAACCAAUCGUAGCAGAGCAUGUUGGUAAGAGAUUGCAUCCAUUAAUUAAGAUUAAGAUUACAAAAGGAUAAGACCAAUGAACAAGAACAGCAAAUCAAAUGGAAAAAUAGAGCUCAAGUCUUAUAUCAUUUACGUAAUGUAAUUAUCAGCAAACCUAAACAAAUCCAGUUUUGAACAAGUGUAAUAUGCUAAUUAGACUUCCUAAUCAGUGUGUAAUUUUAGCUAACAUAUAACACGCUUCUAUUGAACUGUAACAUGCUAAAAGUAGAACACAUCCUAAAUUUUUCAUUAAAGAUAAAGAAUGGAAAUUCAAUGAAAAUGGACCUGGUCGAAUGCCCGAGUAACUUUUUGAACAGGAUUAAUUGACAGACCUACUUCGGCGUCGCUCUUCUUCAGUAUCCUCCUGGGUCGUCACUCCAGCUCUUGUUCUCGCAGUGCGUUCUGAAGACUGAAGUGAUAACUUACCUACCAUGAUUGAUGGCGCACAUGGAAAUCCCUGUGAUUGUCCCCUCACCUUCAUAGAAAAAUGGGAUGGGCUCAGGGCCCAUUGUGUACAACUUUCUGGGU
rnacentral:lncRNA from 1 species